rnacentral:rRNA from 1 species
GACGAACGCUGGCGGCGUGCCUAAUACAUGCAAGUCGAACGAGAGCGACCGGUGCUUGCACUGGUCAAUCUAGUGGCGAACGGGUGAGUAACACGUGGGUAACCUGCCCAUCAGAGGGGGAUAACAUUCGGAAACGGAUGCUAAAACCGCAUAGGUCUUCGAACCGCAUGGUUUGAAGAGGAAAAGAGGCGCAAGCUUCUGCUGAUGGAUGGACCCGCGGUGCAUUAGCUAGUUAGUGAGGUAACGGCUCACCAAGGCCGUGAUGCAUAGCCGACCUGAGAGGGUGAUCGGCCACAUUGGGACUGAGACACGGCCCAAACUCCUACGGGAGGCAGCAGUAGGGAAUCUUCCGCAAUGGACGCAAGUCUGACGGAGCAACGCCGCGUGAGUGAAGAAGGUUUUCGGAUCGUAAAACUCUGUUGUUAGAGAAGAACAAGUGCUAGAGUAACUGUUAGCGCCUUGACGGUAUCUAACCAGAAAGCCACGGCUAACUACGUG